GUUAGGAAUAUUGGACAAUGGGCGCAAGCCUGAUCCAGCCAUGCCGCGUGAGUGAUGAAGGCCUUCGGGUUGUAAAGCUCUUUAGCCGAUGAUUAUAAUGACUGUAGUCGGAAAAUAAGCCCCGGCUAACUUCGUGCCAGCAGCCGCGGUAAUACGAAGGGGGCGAGCGUUAUUCGGAAUCACUGGGCGUAAAGCGUGCGUAGGCGGCUUUGCAAGUUGGGAGUGAAAGCCCAGGGCUCAACCCUGGAAUUGCUCUCAAAACUGCAAGGCUCGAAUUCGGGAGAGGAUAGCGGAAUUGUCAGUGUAGCAGUGAAAUGCGUAGAUAUUGACAGGAACACCAGUGGCGUAAGCGGCUAUCUGGACCGAUAUUGACGCUGAGGCACGAAAGCGUGGGGAGCAAACGGGAUUAGAAACCCGAGUAGUCC
rnacentral:rRNA from 1 species